rnacentral:rRNA from 1 species
AUUGAACGCUGGCGGCAGGCCUAACACAUGCAAGUCGAACGAGUGGCGGACGGGUGAGUAAUGUCUGGGAAACUGCCCGAUGGAGGGGGAUACCUACUGGAACCGGUAGCUAAUACCGCAUACCAUCGGCUUUGCCCAGAUGGGAUUAGCUAGUAGGUGGGGUAAUGGCUCACCUAGGCCACGAUCCCUAGCUGGUAUGAGAGGAUGACCAGCCACACUGGAACUGAGACACGGCCCAGACUCCUACGGGAGGCAGCAGGGGGGAAUAUUGCACAAUGGGCGCAAGCCUGAUGAAGCCAUGCCGCGUGUAUGAAGAAGGACUUCGGGUUGUAAAGUACUGUCGGCGGGGAGGCGUUAUCCGCAGAAGAAGCACCGGCUAACUCCGUGCCAGCAGCCGCGGUAAUUC